GACGAACGCUGGCGGCGUGCUUAACACAUGCAAGUCAAGGGGGCCCGCAAGGGUAACCGGCGAACGGGUGCGUAACACGUGAGCAAUCUGCCUAGAUGUGGGGGAUAGCCGGCCCAACGGCCGGGUAAUACCGCAUACGCUCUCCUGGUGGCAUCACCGGGUGAGGAAACUUUCGAGGCAUCUAGAGGAGCUCGCGGCCUAUCAGCUAGUUGGUGAGGUAACGGCCCACCAAGUCNGCGAUCAGUAACUGGUGUGAGAGCACGACCAGUCAC
rnacentral:rRNA from 1 species